GAUGAACGUUGGCGGCGUGCUUAAUACAUGCAAGUCGAACGAGGAGCCUGGUACUUGUAUCGGGAAUUCCUAGUGGCGAACGGGUGAGUAACGCGUUGGUGAUCUGCCCCGAAGUGAGGAACAACAGUUCGAAAGGACUGCUAAUACCUCAUGUGGUCAUGGAAUUUAGAAACCCAUGUCUAAAGGAUUUAUUCGCUUCGGGAGGAGCCUGCGUCCCAUCAGCUAGUUGGUAAGGUAACGGCCUACCAAGGCGAUGACGGGUAGGGGGCCUGAGAGGGUGGCCCCCCACAAUGGUACUGAAACACGGACCAUACACCUACGGGUGGCAGCAGUAGGGAAUAUUGCCCAAUGGACGAAAGUCUGAGGCAGCAACG
rnacentral:rRNA from 1 species